UAUGUCUAAAUGGUAUGUAAUUUUACUCAGGACAUAUUCAAAAUCGGUUCGAGCGCAGAACCAAAGAAAUAAAUUUUAGUUAAAUGAGAGUUAGCGGAGCGAGUCCGAGACCGAGACCGAGACCGAGAGAGUAGAAAAAGGGAAAAUGGAACGUGGAUCCAAUAUAGAACCAAAGGAGCUAAUGAGCCAGCUGAAGCAACAAAUUGCGCUGGCCAAUGUCCAGGAGCUGUUAGCCACUGUCACCUGCAAGUGUUUCGAGAAAUGCGUGACAAAGCCGCGCGACCACUUGAGCGGACCGGAGCAGAGCUGCAUCCAUCUGUGCAUGGAUCGAUACCUAGACUCCUUUCGCCUCUGCGCGCACACCUACGGCCAUCGACUCCGGCGCGAGUAUAGCCGUCAGCGCAGCUGAGGUGGGCUUUCAGAUUGGGCCUUGGAUCGUUGGCUGCUGCCAAUGAAUCUGGAUGCUGGCAUGGAUGGGAUUGUUAGCCACCGGCUUCCACGAAUCAUUUCAUUAGUUUAGCCCAAAUACAUAGUCUGACUUACACGCACGCGCACACUCAAAAGCAAAGUUCAGUUCAUAUUUUCUUUUUCCUGUUUUUUUUUUUUUUUUACUAUCUGAAUGGUCGCCUUUGAAUUGAGUUCGUUCGCAUUUGUGCCAGGACUUUGCAUUCAGUGGAGAACGCGUGGUUUCCUGUUCUGGACUGGCAGCAGAAACGCGACUUUACCAGUUUCCGCUAGUCGACGCUUUGUUAGCCUCGUUGAAAUGUCGGCGGUUGUGGCCGCACGGACUGCUAACCUUUUGGCCCAUUCUGCUCCGCAGCUCCGCUGGCAAAUUGCAUUCGAGGGCUGCCAUAUGCUUAUCGAGGGCUUCAUACGUUUUAUGAUGAGGCGUACCUAUAAAGUACAUCUCAACAUUCUCCAAACCAGCGAGGGGAAUCGCCCUUUAUGGGGGAAAUAACUGACCAUCUAUAUCUAUAAAUGUGUUUGUCCUGACUAGCCGAACGAAGCUGAAAUUUUUCCUAACACUUCCAUUUGGGAAAUUUGACAAUAUUGACAAUAACAAACCAUUUAACUCGGGCUUGAAUAAUAAAAUCCCAAAAUAAAGCGCAGCUAGCUAACUUCUUUA